rnacentral:snoRNA from 1 species
UAUUGCUGAUAUGGACAAUCCUAAAAAAUGUCCUUAAAGCAUUCCCAAGCAUAAUAUAGAUUUUCAUCAAGCUUCUGUUUGAAGCUCACUAUCUCACUGUGAAGUCU